UGAACUCGAGGUCUUGGCUGUGUUUUUGAUACUUAUAUAUUUAGGUUGUCUUGUGUACUUCUUUUCUUCCAGGUUCUCCCUUGAAAUGUUACACCUGCCUGUUCCCCACCAUCUCCCCAUUGGACUGUUUUAAGUUCAUCACACCAUGCGGACCAUCCCAGAGGUGCCUCCAGUCUGUGACAACAGGGCAUAGAGGUGCUCUCGAGUUGGUGAUCCAUGAGAUGAGCUGUGGGAAUCCUUCCAUGUGCGGCCUCCGUGGCACCCGCUCCAUGUUGGGAACCAAUUUCACCUACUACACUACCUGCUGCUCCACCGAUCUGUGCAACAAGGCUGUUCGGCAAGAUCUCCACAUUUUCUGGGGGCUACUGCUUGCUUCUUUGUCGUUCUUCCUGGUAAACAUCUCCUGAGAUGAUUAUCUCAAAACUCACUGGCAACAUUUUGCUACUUUUUGUCAGCUCUGUAAGAGAUCCUUCUACCCCCAUUACUAUAGGGGAAAGUUGCAUUGAUAACUCUUGUUUUCCUAUCUCCUUUUAUUCUACUUUCUUACUUUCCCAGCUGGAUUUUAUGGUUGUUACAAACAGUAAUAAAACAUAUUGUAAGCUU